CGUGUAGGCGGCCAGAUAAGUCCGCUGUGAAAUCUCGAGGCUCAACUUCGAGCUGUCGGUGGAAACUAUCUGGCUAGAGUCCGGAAGAGGAGAAUGGAAUUCCUGGUGUAGCGGUGAAAUGCGCAGAUAUCAGGAAGAACACCCGUGGCGAAGGCGGUUCUCUGGGACGGUACUGACGCUGAGACGCGAAAGCGUGGGAGCGAACA
rnacentral:rRNA from 1 species